rnacentral:rRNA from 1 species
AACGAACGCUGGCGGCAGGCUUAACACAUGCAAGUCGAACGCUCCGCAAGGAGAGUGGCAGACGGGUGAGUAACACGUGGGAACGUACCCUUUACUACGGAACAACUCCGGGAAACUGGAGCUAAUACCGUAUGUGCCCUUUGGGGGAAAGAUUUAUCGGUAAAGGAUCGGCCCGCGUUGGAUUAGCUAGUUGGUGGGGUAAAGGCCUACCAAGGCGACGAUCCAUAGCUGGUCUGAGAGGAUGAUCAGCCACAUUGGGACUGAGACACGGACCAAACUCCUACGGGAGGCAGCAGUGGGGAAUAUUGGACAAUGGGCGCAAGCCUGAUCCAGCCAUGCAGCGUGGGUGAUGAAGGCCUUAGGGUUGUAAAGCACUUUCACCGGAGAAGAUAAUGACGGUAUCCGGAGAAGAAGCCCCGGCUAACUUCGUGCCAGCAGCCGCAGUAA